rnacentral:rRNA from 1 species
GACGAACGCUGGCGGCGUGCCUAACACAUGCAAGUCGAGCGGUUCUAUGUUUAACACUGAAUAUUCUAUUUUAAAUGGAGUAUUGAGUGUUAAACAUAGGAUAGCGGCGGACGGGUGAGUAACGCGUGGGCAACCUGCCUUUCACAGGGGGAUAACACAGGGAAACUUGUGCUAAUACCGCAUAAUACAACGAGAUAGCAUUUUCUUGUUGUCAAAGGAGCAAUCCGGUGAUUGAUGGGCCCGCGUCCAAUUAGCUAGUUGGUGGUGUAACGGACCACCAAGGCGACGAUUGGUAGCCGAACUGAGAGGUUGAUCGGCCACAUUGGGACUGAGACACGGCCCAGACUCCUACGGGAGGCAGCAGUGGGGAAUAUUGCACAAUGGGGGAAACCCUGAUGCAGCAACGCCGCGUGAAGGAUGAAGGUUUUCGGAUUGUAAACUUCUUUAGUCAGGGACGAAUAAAUGACGGUACCUGAAGAAUAAGCCACGGCUAACUACGUGCCAGCAGCCGCCGUAACAC